rnacentral:rRNA from 1 species
CAAGUCGAGUGAACGGACGAGAAGCUUGCUUCUCUGACGUUAGCGGCGGACGGGUGAGUAACACGUGGAUAACCUACCUAUAAGACUGGGAUAACUUCGGGAAACCGGAGCUAAUACCGGAUAAUAUUUUGAACCGCAUGGUUCAAAAGUGAAAGACGGUCUUGCUGUCACUUAUAGAUGGAUCCGCGCUGCAUUAGCUAGUUGGUAAGGUAACGGCUUACCAAGGCAACGAUGCAUAGCCGACCUGAGAGGGUGAUCGGCCACACUGGAACUGAGACACGGUCCAGACUCCUACGGGAGGCAGCAGUAGGGAAUCUUCCGCAAUGGGCGAAAGCCUGACGGAGCAACGCCGCGUGAGUGAUGAAGGUCUUCGGAUCGUAAAACUCUGUUAUUAGGGAAGAACAUAUGUGUAAGUAACUGUGCACAUCUUGACGGUACCUAAUCAGAAAGCCACGGCUAACUACGUGCCAGCAGCCGCGGUAAUACGUAGGUGGCAAGCGUUAUCCGGAAUUAUUGGGCGUAAAGCGCGCGUAGGCGGUUUUUUAAGUCUGAUGUGAAAGCCCACGGCUCAACCGUGGAGGGUCAUUGGAAACUGGAAAACUUGAGUGCAGAAGAGGAAAGUGGAAUUCCAUGUGUAGCGGUGAAAUGCGCAGAGAUAUGGAGGAACACCAGUGGCGAAGGCGACUUUCUGGUCUGUAACUGACGCUGAUGUGCGAAAGCGUGGGGAUCAAACAGGAUUA